rnacentral:rRNA from 1 species
AGCUUGCUCCCGGAUGUUAGCGGCGGACGGGUGASUAACACGUGGGUAACCUGCCUGUAAGACUGGGAUAACUCCGGGAAACCGGAGCUAAUACCGGAUAGUUCCUUGAACCGCAUGGUUCAAGGAUGAAAGACGGUUUCGGCUGUCACUUACAGAUGGACCCGCGGCGCAUUAGCUAGUUGGUGGGGUAAUGGCUCACCAAGGCGACGAUGCGUAGCCGACCUGAGAGGGUGAUCGGCCACACUGGGACUGAGACACGGCCCAGACUCCUACGGGAGGCAGCAGUAGGGAAUCUUCCGCAAUGGACGAAAGUCUGACGGAGCAACGCCGCGUGAGUGAUGAAGGUUUUCGGAUCGUAAAGCUCUGUUGUUAGGGAAGAACAAGUGCGAGAGUAACUGCUCGCACCUUGACGGUACCUAACCAGAAAGCCACGGCUAACUACGUGCCAGCAGCCGCGGUAAUACGUAGGUGGCAAGCGUUGUCCGGAAUUAUUGGGCGUAAAGGGCUCGCAGGCGGUUUCUUAAGUCUGAUGUGAAAGCCCCCGGCUCAACCGGGGAGGGUCAUUGGAAACUGGGAAACUUGAGUGCAGAAGAGGAGAGUGGAAUUCCACGUGUAGCGGUGAAAUGCGUAGAGAUGUGGAGGAACACCAGUGGCGAAGGCGACUCUCUGGUCUGUAACUGACGCUGAGGAGCGAAAGCGUGGGGAGCGAACAGGAUUAGAUACCCUGGUAGUCCACGCCGUAAACGAUGAGUGCUAAGUGUUAGGGGGUUUCCGCCCCUUAGUGCUGCAGCUAACGCAUUAAGCACUCCGCCUGGGGAGUACGGUCGCAAGACUGAAACUCAAAGGAAUUGACGGGGGCCCGCACAAGCGGUGGAGCAUGUGGUUUAAUUUCGAAGCAACGCGAAGAACCUUACCAGGUCUUGACAUCCUCUGACAACCCUAGAGAUAGGGCUUUCCCUUCGGGGACAGAGUGACAGGUGGUGCAUGGUUGUCGUCAGCUCGUGUCGUGAGAUGUUGGGUUAAGUCCCGCAACGAGCGCAACCCUUGAUCUUAGUUGCCAGCAUUCAGUUGGGCACUCUAAGGUGACUGCCGGUGACAAACCGGAGGAAGGUGGGGAUGACGUCAAAUCAUCAUGCCCCUUAUGACCUGGGCUACACACGUGCUACAAUGGACAGAACAAAGGGCUGCAAGACCGCAAGGUUUAGCCAAUCCCAUAAAUCUGUUCUCAGUUCGGAUCGCAGUCUGCAACUCGACUGCGUGAAGCUGGAAUCGCUAGUAAUCGCGGAUCAGCAUGCCGCGGUGAAUACGUUCCCGGGCCUUGUACACACCGCCCGUCACACCACGAGAGUUUGCAACACCCGAAGUCGGUGAGGUAACCUUU